rnacentral:piRNA from 1 species
UGGUAGUUUGCACGGUGCUAGACA